rnacentral:lncRNA from 1 species
GAGGCCAGAGCUUCAAGAGGAAGGCGCAGCAGGGCUGGCUCCUUCCGCCGGCUCUGAGGGAGGCUCGGUUCCUGCCUCUUCCAGCUUCUGGGGGUGGUUGGCUGUGCCCCUUUGCCUGGAGACACAAAGAUCACUCCAGGCUCUGCCUCUGUGUGCCUGUGUCCAAACUUCCACCUUCUUAUAAGGACGCCAGGCAUUGGAUCAGGGCCCACCCCAAUCCAUUGGGACCUCAUCUUACGUUGAUGACAUCUGCAGAGACUCUAUUUCCAAAUAGGUCACACUCACACUCCCGGGGGUAGGGCUUUGACAUAGCUUUGGGGGGGGACACCAUUUGCCCCACAAUGCUGUCUUCUGAGAUCCUUACCUGUGAAGGUGAUGGGCUGACAGCAUUUACUAGAAGUAAAUAGGAGAGCUCCGGAGGGUCACCUGACCUUCUUAAAUAAAGAGGAAAUCCUAAGAAGGGCGGAGCUGACCCCACCCACCACCCCCUCUAAGCAGCGGGCCUCUCCAGGACCCUACACAAGAGCCCAGAGCCCCAUCAAUCAUCACAUCACUGCACUUGCUCAUGGGGACCACCCACAGCACCAAAACCCAGGACAGGUCAUACCACCAAAACACAGGACAGGCCACACCACCAAAACACACGACAGGCCACACUACCAAAACCCAGGACAGGCCAUAGCACCAAAACUCAGGACAGGCCACACCACCAAAACACAGGACAGGCCACCCCACCAAAACCCUGGACAGGUCACACCACCAAAACCCUGGACAGGUCACACAACCAAAACACAGGAGAGGCCACACCACCAUAACACGGCGCAGGCCACACCACCAAAACACAGGGUGGCUGUGUGGUCUGGGCCCUCGUUCAUUAGAUAUAAGACAGAUGAGGCAAAGCAAACCGGCCUAGGGUCAGAGGGCUUGUGAGGGCCUCAGAACCCCAGAAGAACACCUUAGUCUGAUUGGUUGGGAGCUUUAUAAGGUGUUUUCCCUCAGAGCUGUCUUAUGGGAAACUGGGUGCUUUCGAGUUCUCCUCUUCAUGACGAGACUUCUCCUCCACGACCUGGGGGAGACGGGGCCAGCCCUUCCCAGUGGCAAGCCCGUGACAGGCGGCACCCGCACUGUUGACCAGGAUGCCAGCCUGGCAGGAGGACGAGCAUCUCCCCAGGAGGCAGGGGAGGCCCCCCAAAAUAGCGGGCCGCCCCGGUCCCCACCCCCGAUCCCUGCACAGGCGCUGAGCUGGGGAAGAGGCCCCAGCCGGACUCAGGGUCUGUCAACCACAGUGCUGCCCAUGGGGUCCCUCCUGGGGCCUCCCAGGGGCCCUGAUGGGAUCUGCCUCUCACCAGCCCCUCCUCCGCAUGCCUGUUCCUGCCUUAAGAUCUGAGCCCUUGACCGACCGUCCCACUCUCAGGGACUCUCUCCCCCAUACUCCAGACCUGCUGGUGGCUGGUUUCAUUUCAUCCUUCAGGACUGAGCUCAGAUGUCCCCCCUCCCUCAGCAUAGUCUGCUUCCUUCCCUCGAAGCGUGUCCUUCAUAGAAAAUUCGCAGUGCUUCCCUGUUUAUUUCCUCCCUGUUUAUUGUCUGUCUGCCGCCACUAGAUAGUUCCCUACUGGGAGCAGGGCUCACUGGCUCGCUCUCUCUCUGGCUCGCCACUGCCUCUCCAGGCCUAGGAUGGUGCCCAGACACACCAGGGGCUGGAGGCAUGAGCAAGCGAGUCCAGAGAGGAGCUGGCAGUUUGUCUUGUCCACGUCAGCUCUUGGCAGUUCUGUCAUGAUAGUUCUUACGUAAAAUACAGGUCCCAGCGCACACUGCCCAGGCCUGGUCUCCCAGGACAACUCGUGCUGCUGCCGUUGGCCACCAGAAGGCCCCCCGGCUCAGCCACCCCCUACCAAGGUGUCUCCUUGAGUGGGAUGUGCAGUGGCCAUUUGCCGUUUCGGGCUCCGGGCAUCAUUUGCCUAGUACUGAUAACUGGCCCCCACUCCACUUGGGGACUUCAUCCUCCCCACUCUCAUUCUUUCUUUUUCUGGUAGAACUGAUGCUCCCCAGACCCCAGGGGAGGCCUGGGACCCAAGCUGGCAACAGAGGCAUUUCAUUUCCCAGCCAGGGACAGGACCACCUCGAGGGCAGACACAGAACUCAGACAAGCCAGUGACAGGCAGGAGGCUCAGUUCCAGGACUCUUGUAAGAGCUAUUAGCUGUCUGCAGCCUGCGCUGCACAUGAGAGCCACCUGGGGGGCCUUUUCCUGUCCGGUGUCCAGCCACACACCUGACCAGUUACAUCGCCAGUGGCAGUGAGGCUGGGGACCUCUGCAUCAGAGCCUUGGUUCUGACGAUAAAUACAACUGGAGCCUUCUGAGCUUUAACAUCCAUCUCCCAAACCCCUACGAGAUAAGCGAGAUGCUUUCCAACUGAAGCCGUUCUCAAUUGAUGAGCGGGGCCCACCAAAGAACGUGCAGGUAGUUCCAGGGCCACCUAUCAAUUUGCAGGUCAGACUGACCCAGAUCCCAUACUUAGAGGACAAUAACACAGAGGUUUUCCCAAUAUGGAUGUCAGCCCCCACCAUGGGACGGGCUGAGAAAGGCCUUCCGCCACCGUCUUCGGGAAGCCCCGGUCCCCAACCGCUCCCUCACUGGGGGUCCUCCGGCUCCUACUCCAGAGCUCAUCCUUAGAGAGACGCCUCGGGUGCACGUCAUCUGCGUUUCUGCUCACACCGUCACAAAGCCCCAGAUGAGGAAAUGAACACUGCUGCGAACACUGAACGAUGGAUUCCAAGCACAUCUCACCAAGAACACGCUUCACAGUAGCCAUGCAACAAAUGACUGUGCAUAAUCUAGGAACUACUUUGCUGUUUCUUUGGUAUGUGUGUUUGUUACUGAAAGGCUUCCAGCCCUGGUCUGAUGUCUACUUUGAAGAAACCUGGAUUAAGCAGGGGCACUUAUGAAGAAGUGGCAAAAGACAGUGGAUCUAACACACACUGGCUGAUGAGCGUUUUCAUGGUAGAAGCUGGAGUUACCCCACCAACCUUGCUGAUGUGAGGUUUAUGAAAGCUUAUAGAAGCGAUGGCUCACUGGUGGCUUCAGUGCACGGAGUCCCAGCGUCAGAUACAAACGCUGGAUAAAUGGCUCACUGCCCUAAAGUGCCAUCUGAUGCCACCACCUGGAAUACAGCUGCUAAUUAGAAGCUUGGUGGAAACACAUGUUGGAGAAGAUAAAAGUAAAACACAAGGGCCAAGGGGGGGUGCUUGGAGUCCCGUUUCCUUAAACGCCGGUGUGAGGUCCUUCAGCAGUGCCUCGGACACCUGCCGUUGAGCAGGGUUCGUCUCUGAUGGGACUCCUCGACGUGAGUUGGCCUGAGGUGGGUGUUCCCGUCUGUGAAUGAAUUCCUGUGCAGAGCCAGUCAAACGCAGCCUGGAUGCCGUGUUUGCUCAAUGCCAACAGUGCUGUCAACAAGGCCUGGUGACGCCUGAAAGAUGCAAAUGGAAACCUCAUCUCUCACUUCUGGCUUUAGUCAGUGGCUGCCCACACUCGGAUUACCCCUUGGCAAGUGCUCUGGCGCAGAGGUGUUACUCUGUGGGAAACUUUGAUGACAGGCAUCAAACGGGCCAAAUGUUACCUCCAACAAGAAAGGGCGGGCAGGUAGAACGCAGUACUGUGGGCAGAGGGGGUCCCAGCUAUGUGUCAGGUCUUGGCUCACAUGUCAAUGACAACGGCCUUCUCAGCUGCCCCCUUGCCCUGUGGGACUCAGGUCUGCUUGUCAUCCUCUUCCACAGCACCCUCUGCUUUUCCUUCAGAGCACCCAGCACAAAUUGCAACCAGAAUGAGUUGUGAUCACCUGCACCAGUAGUGUCACCUCCAUGAGUUGCCCGACUGCAGGGGCUCGGGGUCUUGUCCGUUCUUUCUGCACUACUGUCUACACAACACAUGAGCACACGGAGGCCCUCCGGAGCUUCCUGGAGGAAGGCCCAGGGAUGCCUUGGACAAACCGCAUACCUCGAGAAACGUUGUGUCUUGCCAGUCCUAUUUCUGAGCCCUCAAUGACGGGAUUCUGUUCUUGAAAUAAUAAAAAAAAAAAUGAUGAUAACGUACUGAGUUGUGCGAUAGGAUGCAUGUUAUCCACUCACAAGCCCUUACAGAAUCUGCCAGACUAAGGAGUGGGCGAGAUGGUCACCCGCAGGGAGAGAUUGGCAUGGAUGGAAAAGAAACUAAAGUGAAACUCUGUGGACUUGUCACACUGGGCAUCACAUGGUGUGUCUGAGCCAACGCUGGCCCGACAUCUGCAUCCGGCAGCCACUGGGUUCUCCACCUCCGAGCAAAGGCUGGUGAGCGCCUGCCAGAAGGAUGCUGAGGGAUCGAGCUGAGCGUUCUGUCUGCCUUUCACAGUAGAAAUCCACAAUGAGGCUGAGAAUGUUUAAAACAACUAAAAUAAGCAUGUAGGAAAGAACUAUACGUUUCAAUAAAAAGUGAUUUAGAGACAUUCUGUACCAGAAAUUCCUGUCCAAAAGAAACAGGAUACACGGAAAAGUGGAGCCCUACUGUUUACUUGGAGGAUGUUUAUUUGCUGUUGGUGACCUCUGCAGCCACAUGACAAGAAUUUAGGUUGUAAACCUGGGCACUUAAGCUGCAGUGCUGGGUGACCGAUUUUAAUUUGACCUUUAAAUCCCAAGAGCAAGAUCAGGUUGGCGUGUGGAAUGCAGCUGUGCGUGGGGAGUCCAAUCACUGUGGCCAUUUUAACCAUCAAGAUGAAUCGCUGCCCGAUGAUGCCUUCUGAAGUGAUCAAUAUCAAUUUUCAAGGCAGCUGAAACAUCCCCAUCAGCCAUACGGUGGCCGGGCUCAGUGUGCCACGUGGAUCCAGCUUCUCAGCUAAGGUGAAAUGGAGGAACACACAACUGCUCGGGGCAUCGCGGCCACGGAGGCGGGAAUCUGGGUCACAAGGAUCUUGCUCCGUAUGGUAUGUUGAUGGAAGAAAAAGAAAGAAAUUAUUUCUGAGUAAGAUGGGGGAGUGGAAGUUGAACCUUUUGGCUAAAAUUAGGCGAGAAGCUUAUCAGCGGCUCAGCAUAAGAGCAAGAAGCUUAAGUGACUGGCUUUGCUUCUGCACCAGGUCAAGGAGCCCCUCUUUUUGGUUUCUCUAGCACAAAGGUUUGUCAAAUAAAUGUAUUUCUCUGCAUUUAAGCAGUUAUUAUUUCCCCUAACAUAGCAGACAAACAUUAACCCCAGAGCUGGCGCGAAAUAAGAAGGUUAUGAUGGAAUAGCACUUUGCGAGGGGAGCACUUGCACCUACGGCACAGCGGAUGGAAGCAUCUAUCUUCCAGGACGGCAACUUCAGCCACCUGCAGGGCAGCUCCGCCCGCCUCCCUUGUGCUGGGGCACCGAAGGAGGGCGCUGCGCGGCACUCUGCACUGCGCUUCCGGGGGCACGGCCGCUGUGAG